CGGAGAUCAGGCAUUUCUCGGCAUCAAAUGUGGUCCCAUGUGACCUUUUCACAAAUAACUCAGCAGGGGAUGAAUGUAUGUAAGGGAACUCACCUGCCACAUAUAAAUGCUGAGACAGAGGCGUGUAGACAGUGCCAGGGGAGGACGAGAGAGGUACCUACUCACUCUGCUGAGCAGGAGCAGGGCUGGAGCCUGGAGGACAAACAGACAGAGGAAGAGCAUUCCUGGUGGGGGACCAGGGUACAAAGGCACAAAGGGGAGGGGACACAGGCGGUGCCAUGAGGCUAGAGUGUAGGAUGCAUAUGGGGCUGGGGCUCUCCUAGACCCAGUCUUACGGACAAGGCCAGUCUCUGGUCCCAUCCACAACCACUCAUGGAGUUUGGGCUCAACCCCAGAGGCCAUAGGCAGAUGCGAGGGUAUUCAGGCGCAGAGGGGCACUUUACCAUAGCACAAGCCCCAGGAUGUGUCUGGGGACAGGUGCGAGGCAAGCCCCUUUUGAGCGAUGGGCCCCUGCAUGGCCAUCCUGCCUGACCGAGCUCCUCCAUUCUCAUCUCCUCCUGAGGUUUGCUGAAGAAGGAAGGACCCAGCCUCCGCUCCCUCGGACACCAUCCCACACCACCUGCCACCCUUCCUGGUUUAACUGAGUCAGGAAAUCAUGUCGAAAGGAGAGACUUCUAGGGAAGUCAUCCUGUAGGAAUCAAACAUUCUGUGGCUGCAGGAAAACCACUGGCAUCCCUAUCUCUGACAUCAAAAGCCCCUGAGUCCACCAGCUGAUUCCUCAGCAGUCCUGAAUGUACAGUAAAAACUGGCCCAGUGGGUUUUCCCCGUAUCCUCACAGCACACUCCAGGAUUUCCUGUGUGUGUUUCUGUGUCAUCUAGUGGGAUGACAUAAGCACCAGCCACGAAAGCAGUGGGGGUAGAUGGGGUUGGCUGAGGAAUCUUGAUGCCAGCUCUGAAUCUAGUUGGGAAGGCCAAACAUGUCAGAGCCAAGCUUAGGGAGACAGUUGUUAAUCGUGGUGGCUCUCGUAGGGGCUCUGGUACAGGGGCUGCGGACUCACGUCAAGCUAGGCUCUAGGACUUUGUGCAAGAUUUUCCAUGAGCUUGCAGUGAGAACUCUUGUCCCGUCAAUGUUUCAAUGUUUCCACGUGGCCUGGGACACAGACAGACAGUGUCAGGCUCAAGACGUUGGUUCUGCUUCUCACCCACGGCCCAGGCCCUGAAUGUUAUCUCUGAUCCCCUGGGACUUGGGAUCUAAAGGCCUGAGGAUCAGGCUGGGCAUAGAAGAGACCAGUGCUGGGAGUCAGACACAGGAUUUUGAGACUGACUUCUUCCACUUACUCACCGUGUGGCCCUGGAGGGGUAACUUAACCUCUCUGAGCCUUAACCUCUUCCCUCAACCUCAUGGCGCGUGAACUAAACAAGGUAAUACCUGGACAGUCCUAAGCUCAGCAGCGAUGGGCCCCCCAGCAGAGCUGAGUAAACUUUGGCUACAAUUAUAAGCUGUUAUAAAGCACUUGGCAUGGAAUAAAUACUCUACAAAUAAGCACCAUGCAAGUCUAAAUAGUUAUUAAUUAUUAUGAUGACUAAUCAUCAUUAUUGUUGAUGAUAAACGUGAGAACUGCUACCCAAACACCAGCUCCCCCACUCAAUCUGUCUGCAGAUAGUUAUCACUCCUCAACCACGAAGAAUAUUCUGGGACCCAGAAAGAUUGCCGGCCCCAAGCUGGCAAACAGGGAGCUCUGUCCUCCCCUCAACCCUCUGAGCGGCACUUCACGGGCUGUCACCCCGACAGGUGACAUUCACCCAAACACAUCCCAUCUGGCUAGUUAGGCUGCUUUCAGUCUACCUUGGAUGGGCUCCUCUGCCUCUGGGUGUUAAAAAUUUUGGAUAUCACCUAAACAAGAAUACCCCUUGGCAAUUCCUUGAGCCCUGGCUCAUGGGCAACAGGCAGACCUGAGGGUAGAAAGUGACCUGGGAAACUCCUGGACUAGCUCUGGGAACUCUGCCUCUGGGAUGAGGGCAGAUAGGUAAGGAGCAGGCUCUGGUGAGCAUGCGACGCUCACCACCAUCCUGAAAAAUGAAUUAGAGCAAGGUCUACAGAGGUACCCAGGCCUAGCUCAGCCCCAGCAUAGUAGGGACCCAAUAAAUACACAGAUGGAUAGAUGGAUGGGUAGGUGGAUGGAUGGAUGGAUGGAUGGAUGGGUGAAUGGAUGCAUGCAUGCAUGCAUGCCUAGAUAGAUGGAAGGGAGGAUAUUAAUCAUGCCUUUUUAUUUUUGGUAUCUCGGACACUUUGAUACCUGGAGCUUUGCUGACCCUGCAGAGACUGCCCCUCCCAAGGGUAGUCAAUUCCUAGAGGAUGAUCUGACCCACAACUUUGCUCCAUGCUUUGAAAGAAGCAGCUUCCUCCUAGCAGCUUGUGGAUGUGCUGGAGAGAACGUCCCUUCGAAGUAUCCUAGGCCAACGAGAAACACAGCAUGUGGGGGCAGACCUGGAUCUGCAUCGUGGCCUUGCUGUUUACUGGCUGUGAGACCUUGGACAAGUGACUUAACCUCUCUUGACUCGCUUCCUCAACCACUACCUAUAUAUACCUACCUUCCAAUUUCUUUGAUGCCAGAAAGAGAAGAUGCACGCCUCGCACGGUGGCCAGCUCAGAGCGUGCACUCCAUAAACAAUGAGUCUUACUUGGAUAUCGUGCCAUCCUGCACCCCGAGUGCCAUCUGGCAGAAAGACUGUGCUAUUAGGUCUAAAUGUCUUCCUCCCUCCGAAGCCCCUAUUUGGGUCUCUCGGUCUGGGCCUCCCAGAAAGUUGUCUUAACCUCCCAGCACUGGGGACACAGCGGGCAGCACACUUGCCGCCCUAUGUAAAGGAACCAGAAGGCCCUCCGCGUGGGUCCUGUCUCUGACCCCUUCCUGCUGAGAUUCUGUUUGGCUUCCCCUGCUGGUUUUAAAGUGAGGAGGGGAUGGAGCUUUACACUGGGAUAGCAUUUCAAUUUCCCCAUCUCCCCGGUACACCAUCACUCGGUAAAAAGAGCUAAUUUUAAAAUGGCUGCUCUUAUGGACGAGAUUAAUGGAUCUUGAAGAGCGGCCAGUAUACCAACUGCUCCUGCAGCCAUGAUGAAAGCUAAUAAUGUAGAAAAUUCUGCCAAUUCCUUUAAUUCAUGAAUAUUUAAGCCUGUGAAAAAUCUGUCAGAUUAUAUCAUUUUUUUCUGGUGAUUUUCCGCCUAAGUACAUUUGUGGCAGCCUGCCAGUUGCUCAAGAAACUUCAGUGGGCGCAAAACCAUUUUUGUUGUUGUUGUCACUAGGGGCUGCCGUGUUCUUGCCGAAUUUAUCCCCCAUCCCAGGAUGGAGUCAGGUUCGCCGGAGACAGCCAAAGGCAACUCUUGGGAUUUUACCUCAGCAAAUAGACUCUUCUCCUCACCCAAAGGCUGACAGCGGGGGUGGGGCCCUUUGAGAGCAAAGCCCGUGGUUUUCAAACUGUGUUCCACGGUACCCAAGGGUUCCCCCGGGGUGGGGGGGUCCCAGGGGAUCUCUGGGAGGGGUGUGGGUUGGGAAUGCUGAGUGGAUGGGGCUGUGACCCUCCCCCCGCCUCCACCAAGCAUUUCUGCUUUCCGUAUUGAGGUUCCAUGUAAAAUUGCCUUGGAAAGAAGUGUUGCCCCAAAUUUAA